rnacentral:rRNA from 1 species
AUUUAAAGUAGAUAUUAACUGAUAUUAAGGUUUAGGUGAUUAAAGUUAUUUGUAAAUAAAAGUAUUUUUAUUGGUUUAUAGUUUUAGUAUUGAAGAAAGAAAUAAUUAAUUGGGUGAUAGUGAUUUAUGUACUGUAAAGGAGAAUUUGAAAUAUAAGAAAAUUUAUUUUUAAUAAAGUAGAUUUGGUUUAUUGUACCUUUUGUAUCAGGGUUAAUCAAAAAUUUUGUAAGGAUUAUUAUAUUUUCUCGAUUUGAAGGGAGUUAAUUUAAAUUUGAUAGUUAAUGUAGAAUAAUUAUUAUUAAAGUUGAAUUGGCAAUAAAAUGUUAUACGUUCUUUAAGAUAUCUAGUUCCUUAAGAAAUGAAUUUAAUUCAGUUGUAUUUAAGUUAUUGGAAUAAUUCUUGAUUUUAAUUAUGUUAGUGCAAUAAUGAUUUGGGGGAUAAGCUCCAGGUUAUAAAUUAAAAUUAUUUUUUAUAGUAAAUUAUUUAGGCUUAGAAGUAGCUAUAAUUUAAAAAGUGUUAUAACUUGAUUUAUGUAGUAUGUUAUUUAUAGAAAUUUAAAUUUUUUAUUAAGGUGAUUUUUGUAAUUAAAAAUAUUUAAUAUUAAUGAUUAAAUUAGUAUAGAAUUGUUUGUUGAUUAAUAUAAAAAUUGAUAAAGGUUACAAUAAGGAAUUAGGCAAAUUUAUGCUCGCCUGUUUAACAAAAACAUGUCCUUUUGAUAUUAAUAUAAGGUCUGACCUGCCCACUGAGAAUUUAAAGGGCCGCGGUAUUUUGACCGUGCAAAGGUAGCAUAAUCAUUAGUCUUUUAAUUGGAGGCUAGAAUGAAUGGUCGGACGAGGCAUUGACUGUCUCAUUGUAAAUGUAAAUAGAAUUUAACUUCUAAGUGAAAAGGCUUAGUUGAAAUUAAAGGACGAGAAGACCCUAUAGAUCUUUAUUUUACUAUAUUUUAUAUUAAUUUAGGGAUGAAAAAAUUGAGUAUUAAAAUAUAGUAAAAUUUUGUUGGGGUGACAGGAAGAUAAGAUAAACUCUUUUUAUUGCAGACAUUGAUUUUUGGGAAAAAUAUUUUGAUCCAGUUAUACUGAUUAUAAGACUAAGUUACCUUAGGGAUAACAGCGUAAUCUUUUUAGAGAGUUCUUAUCGACAAAAAGGAUUGCGACCUCGAUGUUGGAUUAAGAUUAAAAUUUGGGUGCAGGAGCUUGAAUUUUUAGGUCUGUUCGACCUUUAAUUUCUUACAUGAUCUGAGUUCAGACCGGCGUAAGCCAGGUCGGUUUCUAUCCUUAAUUUAAUGAAAUAUUUUAGUACGAAAGGACCAAGUAUUUCAAUUAUUUUGUUGUUGAAUUGAUUAUAAUUAAUAUGAU